ACAGUGGACGCGAGCAUCUUUGUGGCUCAAGUUUAUAAGGGCACACGGUGGAUGCCUUGGCACCAGGAACCGAAGAAGGACGUAGGAAUCUGCGAUAAGCCUCGGGUAGUCGAUAACCAGACUGUGAUCCGAGGAUUUCCGAAUGGGGAAACCCGGCUGGAGGCAAGUCCAGU
rnacentral:rRNA from 1 species